GAUGAACGCUGGCGGCGUGCCUAAUACAUGCAAGUCGAGCGAACGGACGAGAAGCUUGCUCCUCUGAUGUUAGCGGCGGACGGGUGAGUAACACGUGGAUAACCUACCUAUAAGACUGGGAUAACUUCGGGAAACCGUAGCUAAUACCGGAUAAUAUUUUGAACCGCAUGGUUCAAAAGUGAAAGACGGUCUUGCUGUCACUUAUAGAUGGAUCCGCGCUGCAUUAGCUAGUUGGUAAGGUAACGGCUUACCAAGGCAACGAUGCAUAGCCGACCUGAGAGGAUGAUCGGCCACACUGGAACUGAGACACGGUCCAGACUCCUACGGGAGGCAGCAGUAGGGAAUCUUCCGCAAUGGGCGAAAGCCUGACGGAGCAACGCCGCGUGAGUGAUGAAGGUCUUCGGAUCGUAAAACUCUGUUAUUAGGGAAGAACAUAUGUGUAAGUAACUGUGCACAUCUUGACGGUACCUAAUCAGAAAGCCACGGCUAACUACGUG
rnacentral:rRNA from 1 species